AAAGACGUGAGGAUAGCUUCCGGCCUAGGAGCCAAUCAGCGGGCUGCUGCGCGGCCUAGGCGCCGGCAGUAAGCUCCGUUUCCGGCUUAGCAUCAGGGUGUGGGAAGGGGCCGUCAGUGGGCGCCAUGUCUGGCCGCGAAGGUGGCAAAAAGAAGCCCCUGAAACAGCCCAAGAAGCAGGCCAAGGAGAUGGACGAGGAGGAUAAAGCUUUCAAGCAGAAACAAAAAGAGGAGCAGAAGAAACUCGAGGAGCUAAAAGCCAAGGCCGCGGGGAAGGGACCCCUGGCCACAGGUGGAAUUAAGAAAUCUGGCAAAAAGUAAGCUGUUCCUCUUAUCUUCCAUGAUGGUGACCCUCCUCCAUCCCUAUUUAAACAUCUGGAUCCCCUGCCAUAACAUCUUUGCCACCUGCAGCUAGAAUGAAGUGCUAUCUUGAAUGAAGCCUAUUGUACAUUGUAAUAAACUUUUGUAAAAAAAAUAAACAAGUAAAAUGAAUAAUACAAUGGCUCUUUGUCCUAGUGUUCAGCAAUUCCUACCUCAGCUGUGAAUUUAAACCCAGUCUGGAAUCCUACCAGAGCCUGCUGUUUCAUCUUUGUUGUACUCUGAAUUCUGUAUCACUUUGAAUUAAACAACUCAUUAAAAGGCUA